rnacentral:rRNA from 1 species
CCUACGGGAGGCAGCAGUGGGGAAUUUUGGACAAUGGGCGCAAGCCUGAUCCAGCAAUGCCGCGUGCAGGAUGAAGGCCUUCGGGUUGUAAACUGCUUUUGUACGGAGCGAAACGGUCUGCUUUAAUACAGUAGGCUAAUGACGGUACCGUAAGAAUAAGCACCGGCUAACUACGUGCCAGCAGCCGCGGUAAUACGUAGGGUGCGAGCGUUAAUCGGAAUUACUGGGCGUAAAGCGUGCGCAGGCGGUUAUAUAAGACAGAUGUGAAAUCCCCGGGCUCAACCUGGGACCUGCAUUUGUGACUGUAUAGCUAGAGUACGGUAGAGGGGGAUGGAAUUCCGCGUGUAGCAGUGAAAUGCGUAGAUAUGCGGAGGAACACCGAUGGCGAAGGCAAUCCCCUGGACCUGUACUGACGCUCAUGCACGAAAGCGUGGGGAGCAAACAGGAUUAGAUACCCUGGUAGUCCACGCCCUUAAACGAUGUCAACUGGUUGUUGGGUCUUCACUGACUCAGUAACGAAGCUAACGCGUGAAGUUGACCGCCUGGGGAGUACGGCCGCAAGGUUGAAACUUAAAGGAUUGACCGGNNGAGAGNGCGAGACGCACGAGGAGNGG